rnacentral:rRNA from 1 species
GAACCUUCGGGGGAACUGAUGGUGUAGCGCGAAACUUCCAAGAAAUAACCUCUAGUUGUUGAUGGUGACCGUACCAAAACCGACACAGGUGGGUGUGAAGAAUAUUCUCAGGCGCGCGAGAGAACGCUCGUUAAGGAACUCUGCAAAUUAUGCUCGUAACUUCGGGAAAAGAGCAGCCGCAGGCCGUGACAUACCUCGCGUAUGAAGCGGAAGGCGGUCGAAGCGAAAUGGCCCAGGCGACUGUUUAACAAAAACACAGCACUCUGCUAAGUCGUCUAAGACGAUGUAUAGGGUGUGAAGCCUGCCCAAUGCCAAAAGGUCAAAAGGAGGUGUCAGCCGCAAGGCGAAGCACUGAAUUUAAGCCCUGGUGAAUGGCGGCCGUAACUAUAACGGUCCUAAGGUAGCGAAAUUCCUUGUCGGGUAAGUUCCGACCUGCACGAAUGGCCUAACGAUCUGGGCACUGUCUCGACGAGCGACUCGGUGAAAUUGUAGUAGCGGUGAAGAUGCCGUUUACCCGCAACAAGACGGAAAGACCCCGUGAACCUUUACUGUACUCUGAUAUGGGCUUCUAACUUUUCAUGUGUAGGAUAACCAGGAGACUAAGAAGUCGGCUCGUUAGGGCUGAUGGAGUCAACGUUGAAAUACUGGUCUUGAAAGGUCGGAAAUCUAACCUCAUCCCCGUGAAGCCGGGAGAGGGACAGUGUCAGACGGGCAGUUUGACUGGGGCGGUAUCCUCCCAAAAAGUAACGGAGGAGUCCAAAGCUUACUUCAUUGUGGUUGGCAAUCACAAAUCGAGCGUAAAGGUAUAAAGUAGGUUAACUGCGAGACCAGCGAGUCAAGCAGGUACGAAAGUAGGGCUUAGUGAUCCGGCGGUUGAAAGUGGAAUCGCCGUCGCUUAACGGAUAAAAGGUACUCCGGGGAUAACAGGCUUAUCGCCACCAAGAGUUCAUAUCGACGUGGCGGUUUGGCACCUCGAUGUCGACUCAUCACAUCCUGGGGCUGGAGAAGGUCCCAAGGGUUUGGCUGUUCGCCAAUUAAAGUGGUACGUGAGUUGGGUUCAAAACGUCGUGAGACAGUUUGGUCCCUAUCUGUUGUGGGCGUAGGAUACUUGAGAAGAGCUGCUUCUAGUACGAGAGGACCGAAGUGGACGAACCAAUGGUGUUCCGGUUGUACUGCCAAGUGCAUAGCCGGGUAGCUAUGUUCGGAAAGGAUAAGCGUUGAAAGCAUCUAAACGCCAAGCCUCCUUCAAGAUAAGGUAUCCCUAUGAGACCCCCUGAAGACUACAGGGUUGAUAGGUGAGAUGUGUACGCACAGUAAUGUGUUUAGCUAACUCAUACUAAUUGGUCCAUUGGCUUAGAUCA